UACGUAGGGAGCAAGCGUUGUCCGGAAUCAUUGGGCGUAAAGCGCGCGUAGGUGGCUUCGUAAGUCCGUUGUGAAAGUCAAAGGCUCAACCUUUGAAUGCCGAUGGAUACUGCGGAGCUAGAGUACGGAAGAGGCGAGUGGAAUUCCUGGUGUAGCGGUGGAAUGCGCAGAUAUCAGGAGGAACACCAAUAGCGAAGGCAGCUCGCUGGGGCGUUACUGACACUAAGGCGCGAAAGCGUGGGGAGCAAACAGG
rnacentral:rRNA from 1 species